AUUUAAAAGACUUACAUUAAGUGCUGUUACUUGUGAAGUUGCUUUGAAGCAACAUGGUAUGUUGAUGUGUUGGAGAUGCAUAAAAGAGAAGAUGGGUGCUUGUUUUCAUCAUUCACCUAUCCAGCCACCCCAUAUUGUGUCUUUCAUGCUGUUGGCAUGAAAGGAAGAAAAGGUGAGUGCACUGAACUUACAAUCACAGCUCUCUUCCUUUGUUGGGGUAGCCUUUGUAUGUGUCUACUGGUUGGAGACAGGCACAAACACAGGAGUGGUGCCAUGGCUGUACACUCCUAGUAUAUUGUACUGUGUGGAUUCAGUAUCUUGAAACACUAAGGGAAGAAAAGAAAAAGUCUGUUAUUAUGCCAGUGCAGUCUGGAUGCUGAAUUUCUAAACAGCAACUGCAUUUCUAGAGACUUUUUUUUUAAUACUUCAGGCUUUGAAUUUUAAAUCUUCAUCAGUUUCUGCUUUAGGCAAACUGUUUUGCCUCUGCUUGAGGUCUCAAUGUCACUUGAGAUGAGGUACAGUUAUUUGGGUAUGCCUCAGGAUAGAGGAGAAGGAAGAAUAAACGUUUAAUCACGAAGCUAAUUUUUAUACAGAUUGGGGACUUUAGACAGUUUUGAUAUUGUAAAUUUAAUAUAGCAGCCCAUCUCUGCAGAAUGGGUAAAUCUCUGAAGUUUCAGAGCUGAAUAUUAUAUGACUGUAGUAAUAUUCAUAUUUAUUACCUCAAGGAAAUGUUAUCUACCUUUUAAAAUUCAUGUUACAAUAAGGGAUUGUGGAACUAUUGCUUACAAAUAUAUAUAUUUUUCUGCUGUCUAACUACUAUAUGUGCCUCUUGUAGCCAGUUUUUCUUGUAUUGUCAUAAGAGUAUGCAAAUAAGUAGUGGUUACAUUUUAUUAAUUUCUGAUGCUCAGGUAUUAAAACAAACAAA